UACGGAGGUGGCAAGCGUUGCUCGGAAUCACUGGGCGUAAAGGGCUCGUAGGCGGCCAACUAAGUCAGACGUGAAAUCCCUCGGCUUAACCGGGGAACUGCGUCUGAUACUGGAUGGCUUGAAUCCGGGAGAGGGAUGCGGAAUUCCAGGUGUAGCGGUGAAAUGCGUAGAUAUCAGGAGGAACACCUGUGGCGAAGGCGUCCAUCUGGCCCGUUACUGACGCUGAGGCGCGAAAGCUAGGGGAGCAAACGGG
rnacentral:rRNA from 1 species